rnacentral:rRNA from 1 species
GCACAAGCGGUGGAGCAUGUGGUUCAAUUCGAAGCAACGCGCAGAACCUUACCAGCCCUUGACAUGUCCCGUAUGAGUACCAGAGAUGGAACUCUUCAGUUCGGCUGGCGGGAACACAGGUGCUGCAUGGCUGUCGUCAGCUCGUGUCGUGAGAUGUUGGGUUAAGUCCCGCAACGAGCGCAACCCUCGCCCUUAGUUGCCAUCAUUCAGUUGGGCACUCUAAGGGGACUGCCGGUGAUAAGCCGCGAGGAAGGUGGGGAUGACGUCAAGUCCUCAUGGCCCUUACGGGCUGGGCUACACACGUGCUACAAUGGCGGUGACAAUGGGACGCAAUGGGGAAACCCUGCGCAAAUCUCAAAAAGCCGUCUCAGUUCGGAUUGUGCUCUGCAACUCGAGCACAUGAAGUUGGAAUCGCUAGUAAUCGCAGAUCAGCACGCUGCGGUGAAUACGUUCCCGGGC